rnacentral:rRNA from 1 species
AUGGAUCAGUACAAAGAUACCGCCUUCGGCCGAGAGGAAACGGAAACGGAAACCUGGCCCGCUCGCCCGCCCGCCCACCACCGUCCGAAGAGCCAAAAGGGAGAGAGGCGACAGACCUGGCCUGGCCGCCUCCUUCCCAGAAGCCAGAAUCCGGAAGCCGCCCCCGCCCAGGCCCGCCCCCUCGUCCCUCUGCGCGCCGCCGUCGCCAUGGGCGCGGGCGCGGGCGCGGCGGAGGAGCCGUCGCAGACGCGGCGGGCGCUGGUCGACACGCUCGCGGGCGCCAUCUCCGGGGGCAUCUCCCGCACCGUCACCUCCCCCCUCGACGUCAUCAAAAUCCGGUUCCAGGUUCAAUUAGAGCCGACGGCAAAAUGGGGUGUACUUCGGAGGGAUGUCUAUGGACCUUCCAAGUACACUGGACUUAUGCAAGCAACUAAAGAUAUUCUGCGAGAGGAAGGUUUGCCGGGAUUCUGGAGAGGAAAUGUUCCAGCCUUGUUUAUGUAUAUGCCGUAUACUGCUAUACAAUUCACAGUUCUACACAAGCUAAAAACAUUUGCAUCAGGUUCAUCGAGAACAGAGGAUCAUCUGCACUUAAGUCCUUACUUAUCUUACGUAAGUGGGGCUAUCGCAGGAAGUGCAGCAACUGUAGGGUCAUAUCCAUUUGACCUUCUCAGAACUAUUCUUGCGUCACAGGGUGAACCGAAGGUUUACCCCAAUAUGCGGUCUGCACUUGUUGAUAUAGUUCAAACUCGUGGUGUUCGAGGGCUGUAUGCUGGUUUAACUCCAACUCUUGUUGAAAUUAUACCAUAUGCUGGCUUGCAGUUUGGUUCAUACGACACUUUCAAACGUUCAAUGAUGUCAUGGAAUAGAUACAGAUAUGGAAUUGAGGAGGAUGACUCGGCAUCAAGCUUCCAGCUAUUUCUUUGUGGAUUCGCAGCUGGAACAUUUUCAAAAGCUGCAUGUCACCCACUUGAUGUUGUUAAGAAGAGAUUCCAGAUUGAAGGAUUAAAACGUCAUCCUAGGUAUGGGGCGCGGAUUGAGAGCAGCACAUACAAGGGCAUGUACCAUGCCCUAACAGAGAUAGUUGUUAAGGAGGGGUUUGGAGGCCUCUAUAAAGGGCUUUUCCCAUCGGUGGUGAAAUCGGCUCCUGCUGGUGCAGUGACAUUUGUGGCCUACGAAUACAUCUCGGACUGGAUAGGGGCCAAGGCCGGAGUUGAGUGA